rnacentral:rRNA from 1 species
CUCUCGACAACGGAUAUCUCGGCUCUCGCAUCGAUGAAGAACGUAGCGAAAUGCGAUACUUGGUGUGAAUUGCAGAAUCCCGUGAACCAUCGAGUUUUUGAACGCAAGUUGCGCCCGAAGCCUUUUGGCCAGGGCACGUCUGCCUGGGCGUCACG